UCCCUGGUGGUCCAGUGGCUAGGACUCCAUGCUUCCAAACCAGAGGGUCCAGGUUUGAUUCCUGGUCAGGGAA
rnacentral:tRNA from 1 species